GACGUAGGGCGCGAGCGUUGUCCGGAAUUAUUGGGCGUAAAGGGCUCGUAGGCGGUUUGUCACGUCGGGAGUGAAAACUCGGGGCUUAACCCCGAGCCUGCUUCCGAUACGGGCUGACUAGAGGUAUGCAGGGGAGAACGGAAUUCCUGGUGUAGCGGUGAAAUGCGCAGAUAUCAGGAGGAACACCGGUGGCGAAGGCGGGUCUCUGGGCCGAUACUGACGCUGAGGAGCGAAAGCGUGGGGAGCGAACAGG
rnacentral:rRNA from 1 species